CACUGUUGACUUGAUUAUACCAUUUAAGCGAGAUUCUUUUGUUGCACGUGGAAAAGCAGCAUCAGAAGAUAUCAUACAGAUAACAGUAAAAACAAACUAACAAAACUCCAUUGUCUGGACCCUCUCAUAGAAGGUAUAAUAACAGUAUCAGGGUAAAUGAAAACUUAAUUCGGCCUCUUGGAGAUUGGACUACAUAAAACAUUUGAAACAAACUGCAGAGCUAAUCACACCAUUGAGGCAGAGGCUAAGGAUACAUUUUCUCAGAGCUUUCAGGUCAGAAAAAUGAAAAUAGUUACCUACAUUCCUAUUCCACUGAAAGAAUCUGCGUAGCCAAAUCGCCAAGAAGAUGCUGUCAUAAAGGCAUUGAGAUGCCUACAAAAUGGAUUAAGCAAAACUAUCAGAAAAUAAAUAAAUAAUCAAACAUAUAAUAUAACUAUGUGCAGAGCAUAGAGUGGUUUAGUCAAUAAAAGGUAUAAAAGGUGAUUUUACUAUAUAGGGUUGCAACCUCCUUCCUGAAUGUUGGCUAGGAGGUUGUCUGUUAGUUGAAUGUUAGGAAAAAGUCCUAUUGCAAAUCAACUAGGUAGCAUAACAGCUUCUUUAAAAUCCAUCCAAGAAGAAAAGUGGGAAAAUGAAGAAGUCGCUCCUUUGUGGCUGGUCAAUAGAGUUGUCAAAAUAUCAGCUUCAAAACUUCCUUCAACAUGAUUUUUACAAGAGAAUCUGAUAUGUUAUUUUUACCAUUUAAGGACUUCAACAGUCCACUAGAUGAUAUCCCAUGGGAAUUUUAUCUAGGGGUAAGACUUUUAUGUAAGCAGACAACUCAGGACCCCAUACAGUAAAACCCUAUAGCUUGUAAAUGAAAAUACAAAUUUUCUAAAGCAAGAAGAUGAUGAAACUAUUUUUGUGAACGUGACAACAAAUAUAGGACUCUACCUCACUCCCUUCAAUAAGAAAUUUGUUGUUUAGACUUAAUUAAAAAAGAAAUGUGUAAUCCGGAGCAACAUACUUGGGUCUAGGAAAGCAUGCUUCCCACUAUUUUUCUGAUUUAUGAUUACUAGGAUUUAUCAAAAUAUGUCAUUAGCUUUGGCUCCAUUGGUUGCAGACUUGCAGUAAAAUAUUAUUCCUGAUAUAAGAAUUUAUCUCUUAGCCUGGCUAGCAGGUAGCCAGUCGGUUAUUAGUGAUUAGCACACUAAACGAAUUCUGUAAGGUACGCCAACAGCAUUGGAGAUUUUGUUUCAACUAAGUCUUAUUCUUGGUUAUACGUGAGGUACAAAUAUAACCAAAACAUAGCAGUAGAACUUUAUAUUAUCACAUGAACUAGCAAGGACGAUGAAAUUUCAUGAAUCAUUGUGGGUGUUAUCUUAAAAACUAGAGUGAAUUACAUAUGUUUAAAAGGUAAAAAUUUAUGUUGCAUCCCAACUUUGCAACUUUUGUGAACCUGAGUAGAGCCUAGUUAUGGAGAAGGGACCAAGUUGAGGCUCACUUAGGUAUACGAAAUAAGAGUCGAGCUCAAGAUCCACUAAUCAAACCCAUUCCAUCAAUCCUAUAACUUUUGGCCUCCCAUCAACCUUGAAGCUAUUGGGUUUUGUUAGGGUUUCUACCUCGUAAAAGUUAUUAUGGGAAAGAAAAAGGUUUUAGUUCCCAAUGAUGCUAUGAUAAGAACAAUGUCCAUUACCCAUACCAAAGAGGCCAGAGCAUGAGUGCACAUAAGUACGUCAAAGAUUGUGAUCGGCCAACCCUUUCUGCAUAUAAGAUUUGACAUUUUUUCUAUAAAUCGUUUCCUAAUAAUAUAUUCAAACAAAUAAACAUGUCAACUACAGGACUUGGAGCCAGAAGCCCUUCUCCAAAGUGUUUGGGCAGUUUCCAUAGGUAAAUUUAAUGUUAUUUAUGUGUGCAUAUACUUUUUUGAUAUGUCAAUUUGGACAAAGUAUGGAGAUUGGAACAAGCAAUCAUAGGAUUAAUUUCAAGGAACACAACUUUUAUUUUUAAUGCUUCAAAAUAAGUCUAAAAUAUUUGAACAGAUCUCAAUCCAUCUCAAUGAACAUUCUUCGUUUCAACUGUUGGUAUCCUCAAUUUCCCACCAUACAAACUCCUAAAUUAUUCAAAGUGCAUUUUCCCUUCUUUCUCUCAUGUCAUCUUUCCCCCUCAGUAGCAUAUGGAAACAACAUCUGCAUCUAAGUAUUAUUCAACCAUCACAUGCCAAAAACUAGAAACCUAAUUUCAACCAACAUAUUGAAUCAAAUCCAAAACACCUUCAUUUCUAUGCCCAAUAAAUCAAAAAACAAACAGCUUAAAGCCAAAUAACACCAAACUGAAUCAAUUGUUCUCAAUUGCAAACAAUAAUAACAAGCUCUAAUUUCAAGAAUGAAUCUAAAAAUACAUAAAUAAAAGAAAAAAGAAAUCAAACUUUGAGGAACUAAACACCAGCUCUGAGACUCUAUUGACAAGCUCGAUUGCAAGCGAGCUGAAGCUAUCGCACUGUGCAAAGGCAUCAUUGUUUCCAAACUGCUCAAUUCCACCGGUAAUCUAACCACACCACACAAAAAUAAGCUGAACUUUCAAAUAUACAGGAACAUGACAGAGAGAGGAAGAGGGGUUUUAGAAUUUAACCUUGAAAAGCGACGAGCUUGAGACUAAGAGCUGGAUUUGAUGAGUGAAAUGCCAGGAGAGAAAGAAUGAAGUUUUCUUGUUGGAGAGCUUGAGAGACAAAUGUUAUUGACGAGAACAUAUCCUUGACAUAACUUUUGAAGACGCCAUUGAUCAAGGAAGCUAUUCUUAGUAGGGUUUUGUGUACCAGUAGUUCAGUACCAGUAUUCUUCUUCAAAUGAUUUCUUCUAUAUCCUGGACGCCGUCGUAUCCUCUCUCUUAU
rnacentral:lncRNA from 1 species